CUGUUCCCCUCUGAGCUGCAGAGGCAGCUCCUGUUCUGCCUCUGCUCUGUGGGGGUGGGCAAGAGGACAGGCUCUUUAUGGCAGCCAUGGUGUCCAAACAGAGCCAGGAA
ensembl:snoRNA small nucleolar RNA SNORA17